rnacentral:misc_RNA from 1 species
GAAAUGCGAUAAGUAGUGUGAAUUGCAGAAUUCAGUGAAUCAUCGAAUCUUUGAACGCACAUUGCGCCCUUUGGUAUUCCUUAGGGCAUGCCUGUUCGAGCGUCAUUUAAACCUUCAAGCUCAGCUUGGUGAUGGGCGACUGUCCCCCCCCCCUCGCGGGGGGGACUCGCCUCAAAAACAUUGGCGGCCGGUACAUUGGCUUCGAGCGCAGCAGAAACGCGGUCUCGAGCCCGGUGGAUCGGCUCCCAUAAGCCUAUUCUUUUAUUUUGACCUCGGAUCAGGUAGGGAUACCCGCUGAACUUAAGC